UUAACGCUGCGGCCUUUU
rnacentral:misc_RNA from 1 species